rnacentral:tRNA from 1 species
GUUGUGGUCAGUCCGUUCGGAAUGGCGAUGGCUGCUGCGACGGUCGCGAACGGUUCGACUCCGGUGCCGCAACU